UGGGGAAUUUUGGACAAUGGGCGAAAGCCUGAUCCAGCAAUGCCGCGUGCAGGAUGAAGGCCCUCGGGUUGUAAACUGCUUUUGUACGGAACGAAAAGCCUGGGGCUAAUAUCCCCGGGUCAUGACGGUACCGUAAGAAUAAUCACCGGCUAACUACGUGCCAGCAGCCGCGGUAAUACGUAGGGUGCAAGCGUUAAUCGGAAUUACUGGGCGUAAAGCGUGCGCAGGCGGUUUUGUAAGACAGUGGUGAAAUCCCCGGGCUCAACCUGGGAACUGCCAUUGUGACUGCAAGGCUAGAGUGCGGCAGAGGGGGAUGGAAUUCCGCGUGUAGCAGUGAAAUGCGUAGAUAUGCGGAGGAACACCGAUGGCGAAGGCAAUCCCCUGGGCCUGCACUGACGCUCAUGCACGAAAGCGUGGGGAGCAAACAGG
rnacentral:rRNA from 1 species